UGGGGAAUAUUGCACAAUGGGGGAAACCCUGAUGCAGCGACGCCGCGUGAACGAAGAGGGUAUUCGUAUCGUAAAGUUCUGUCCUAUGGGAAGAUAAUGACAGUACCAUAGAAGAAAGCUCCGGCUAAAUACGUGCCAGCAGCCGCGGUAAUACGUAUGGAGCGAGCGUUGUCCGGAAUUAUUGGGCGUAAAGGGUACGCAGGCGGUUUAAUAAGUCGAAUGUUAAAGAUCGGGGCUCAACCCCGCAAAGCAUUGGAAACUGAUAAACUUGAGUAGUGGAGAGGAAAGUGGAAUUCCUAGUGUAGUGGUGAAAUACGUAGAUAUUAGGAGGAAUACCAGUAGCGAAGGCGACUUUCUGGACACAAACUGACGCUGAGGUACGAAAGCGUGGGGAGCAAACAGG
rnacentral:rRNA from 1 species